AACCAUAGAAACCUGCGGAGUACCUGCGGAAGGAUCAUUAUUGAUUUUUUAAAAGGAUGUGCUGGCUCCUCAGGGGGCAUGUGCACUCCUUAACAAAAAAAACCAAUAUCCACCUGUGCACCUUUAGUAGACAGGAAAAGGGCCCUUAGCCGAGGACCCCCUUUUAUUGUCUAUGCUUCUAUCAUAAACACUUGAUCUAUUUGAAUGCCAACACAACAAAUAAUAUAUUUGUAACACAAC
rnacentral:misc_RNA from 1 species